CUCUAACAUUUGUGACAUACCUAUCUUUACUGCUUUGGCGUGGUCCUUCGGGAUUGUGCCGGUAGUAUUUACAAACUCUUUUAAUUUCUAGAGAAUUAUUCAUUGCUGAGUUGCAUUUAACAAAUAGUUAAAACUUUCAACAACGGAUCUCUUGGCUCUAGCAUCGAUGAAGAACGCAGCGAAAUGCGAUAAGUAAUGUGAAUUGCAGAAUUCAGUGAAUCAUCGAAUCUUUGAACGCACAUUGCGCCUAGCAGUAUUCUGCUAGGCAUGCCUGUCCGAGCGUCAUUUCACCACUCAAGCUUCGCUUGGUGUUGGAGGACCCGCUGUCAAGCGGGGCCGCCCGAAAUGCAUCGGCUGUAGUAUUUGCAGCUUCCCUGCGUAGUAAAACUUUGUGUUACGCUUUGAACCUCUUGUACAACAUGCCGUAAAACAACCCACUUUUGUAAGGUUGACCUCGGAUCAGGUAGGAAUACCCGCUGACUUAAGCAU
rnacentral:rRNA from 1 species